UACGGGGGGAGCAAGCGUUGUUCGGAUUUACUGGGCGUAAAGGGCGCGUAGGCGGUCGUGACAAGUCACUUGUGAAAUCUCCGGGCUUAACUCGGAACGGUCAAGUGAUACUGUCGGACUAGAGUACAGAAGGGGCAACUGGAAUUCUCGGUGUAGCGGUGAAAUGCGUAGAUAUCGAGAGGAACACCUGCGGCGAAGGCGGAUCUCUGGGCCGUAACUGACGCUGAGGAGCGAAAGCGUGGGGAGCAAACAGG
rnacentral:rRNA from 1 species